rnacentral:rRNA from 1 species
ACUCCUACGGGAGGCAGCAGUAGGGAAUCUUCCACAAUGGGCGCAAGCCUGAUGGAGCAACACCGCGUGAGUGAAGAAGGGUUUCGGCUCGUAAAGCUCUGUUGUUAAAGAAGAACACGUAUGAGAGUAACUGUUCAUACGUUGACGGUAUUUAACCAGAAAGUCACGGCUAACUACGUGCCAGCAGCCGCGGUAAUACGUAGGUGGCAAGCGUUAUCCGGAUUUAUUGGGCGUAAAGAGAGUGCAGGCGGUUUUCUAAGUCUGAUGUGAAAGCCUUCGGCUUAACCGGAGAAGUGCAUCGGAAACUGGAUAACUUGAGUGCAGAAGAGGGUAGUGGAACUCCAUGUGUAGCGGUGGAAUGCGUAGAUAUAUAGAAGAACACCAGUGGCGAAGGCGGCUACCUGGUCUGCAACUGACGCUGAGACUCGAAAGCAUGGGUAGCGAACAGGAUUAGAUACCCUGGUAGGAUAGCG